rnacentral:rRNA from 2 species
UGGCUCAGAACGAACGCUGGCGGCAGGCCUAACACAUGCAAGUCGAGCGCCCCGCAAGGGGAGCGGCAGACGGGAGAGUAACACGUGGGAACGUACCCUUCAGUUCGGAACAACCCAGGGAAACUUGGGCUAAUACCGGAUACGUCCGUAAGGAGAAAGAUUUAUCGCUGAAGGAGCGGCCCGCGUCUGAUUAGCUAGUUGGUGGGGUAAUUCUCCACCAAGGCUACGAUAAAAUAGCUGGUCUGAGAGGAUGAUCAGCCUCACUGGGAUUACUCCCUGGCCCANAGACCUACNGGAGGCAG